rnacentral:rRNA from 1 species
GACCUCGUGCUAUGAGAUGAGCCUGCGUCGGAUUAGCUAGUUGGUAGGGUAAUGGCCUACCAAGGCGACGAUCCGUAGCUGGUCUGAGAGGACGAUCAGCCACACUGGGACUGAGACACGGCCCAGACUCCUACGGGAGGCAGCAGUGGGGAAUAUUGGACAAUGGGGGAAACCCUGAUCCAGCAAUGCCGCGUGUGUGAAGAAGGCCUUCGGGUUGUAAAGCACUUUCAGUGGGGAAGAAAUUCUCAAGGCUAAUACCCUUUUGAGCGUUGACGUUACCCACAGAAGAAGCACUGGCUAACUCUGUGCCAGCAGCCGCGGUAAUACAGAGAGUGCAAGCGUUAAUCGGAAUCACUGGGCGUAAAGCGCGCGUAGGUGGAUAUUUAAGUCGGAUGUGAAAGCCCUAGGCUUAACCUGGGAAUUACAUCCGAUACUAGGUAUCUCGAGUAUGAUAGAGGGAAGUGGAAUUUCCGGUGUAGCGGUGAAAUGCGUAGAUAUCGGAAAGAACAUCAGUGGCGAAGGCGGCUUCCUGGAGCAAUACUGACACUGAGGCGCGAAAGCGUGGGGAGCAAACAGGAUUAGAGACCCUGGUAGUCCACGCCGUCAACGAUGAGAACUAGCUGUUGGAAAGUUUACUUUCUAGUAGCAAAGCUAACGCGUUAAGUUCUCCGCCUGGGGAGUACGGCCGCAAGGUUAAAACUCAAAGAAAUUGACGGGGGCCCGCACAAGCGGUGGAGCAUGUGGUUUAAUUCGAUGCAACACGAAAAACCUUACCUACCCUUGACAUCCUCGGAACUUGUCAGAAAUGACUUGGUGCCUUUGGGAACCGAGUGACAGGUGCUGCAUGGCUGUCGUCAGCUCGUGUCGUGAGAUGUUGGGUUAAGUCCCGUAACGAGCGCAACCCUCGUCCUUAGUUGCCAGCGGUUCGGCCGGGAACUCUAAGGAGACUGCCGGUGAUAAACCGGAGGAAGGUGAGGAUGAUGUCAAGUCAUCAUGGCCCUUACGGGUAGGGCUACACACGUGCUACAAUGGGCAGUACAAAGGGUUGCCAAACCGUGAGGUAAAGCUAAUCCCAAAAAGCUGCUCGUAGUCCGGAUUGGAGUCUGCAACUCGACUCCAUGAAGUUGGAAUCGCUAGUAAUCGCGAAUCAGAAUGUCGCGGUGAAUACGUUCUCGGGCCUUGUACACACCGCCCGUCACACCAUGGGAGUG